GAUAAACUUGUUUCAUUAAGCCACUGUUAAUUAGCACUACUUAGAAGAGCAUGGACAUCUGCUCUUGUUCCCACCUGCCUUCUCUUUGGCUUAUCCACUGCCCUUUCAGAUGCACAGCACGUGGAGGAUGAAGGACUGACACUGGAUGAAUAUUCCCAGCUCUUACUACUGUUAAUAGGGGAGCCAGGUGGAACAGAUUUGAGAGCAAAGUACUGGGUAUCUAAUGGUACUGAUGAAGUCAAUAAAGUCCAAGUCAUUAUGGCAAGAAAAGGAGAUCCAGGAGAUG